AUACUGUUGUCAUUAGCGUUUCUUGUCGUUAAAAAUGGGAAAUCAUUAGGCGAUAGUAUCGGGUAUAGAUUACGAUCCAGUGUUCCAGAUCGCUAUCAUUAGCGAAGCUUGUCGGUGCUAGACUAAUGGUCACUAAUGAAACGCUGUGACGCGCAUUGCGUGAUGGGAGGAGAGCUGACCAGCUGAUCACUUCAAACAAAAUGGCGGCCUGUUUUGUAGCGAUUGCCUGCAGCUGGCGAGUAUCCUGCCUGGCUUGGCGUCCAUCCCUGGCAUUAUCCGGUCGGCAGUGGAACGGACUUCCCUGGAAAGAAGGCUCUUUAGUCUAAAGUUCAUCGAUGUCUGGAAACAUGAACUGGCAGAAGUAGGGAAGCAGAUCACACAGCAGGAGAUGAAGCUCAUCAUGCAUCACUGCUGUCUGUCAGUAUAGAGUGGUCAAACACCAGCUUCAGUUGUUUACCAUGUCCUUGGUCUGAUUGAAGACUACUGGUCAUAUACUAGUAGACAAAUAUGAAAUUGUCAAGUAGAUUGGUUAGAAAUAGGUGUCCUAAUGAAUUGUAGAAUAGGACUGUGUUGUUUUAUUUUGUUCUCUUUGAUGCCAAGUCAUCUGAGUUGCACAUAUGUAGGACAAGGUCUCUAUAAAACUGUAGCCUGUGUAUCAUCCUCCGUAGUGACUGCUGGCUCAGCACUUUUGCUUGCUAACCACCGUGAUUAGCAAGGGAAAGUACUGAGCCAGCAGUCACUACUGAGGAUGAUACUCAGGCUAAUGAAACUGUAUAAAGCAUAUACUAAGUGAAUGUACAAUGAAUCUUGUAUUUAGCACAAUAAUUUGUAUCCUGCUGAUACUAAGUGUAAUGUGAGUUUGCUUUUCCAAUUGGAGUACUGUAUAUACCUCUAUUUGUGAUAGUUUGAUAUGCCAUUUAGAAAAAAAACUAAACUACACCUGUUAACUCUAUUGUUUCGAAUGCCUUUUGUGUGCAGUGUGUCAUAUUCAUUGGUUCAUAUUUCGAUGCCUGAGAAAUGUGCAUCCUUGAAUCCGUACAUCUGCAAUCACUGUAUAUAUGUAAACGCUUGUGACUGUAUCUGAAAGCAGCAAGAUCUACAUUUGUGUAUAUAGCAAGAUCUACAUUUGUGUAUAUAGCAAGAUCUACAUUAAUUUUGUGUAUAUAGCAAGAUCUACAUUUGUGUAUAUAGCUACAGUGCAUAUACUGCCCAAUAUUGUCCUGAGGAAGGUGACAGAUGGUUACUGAAACGUUGGUGUGAAAUAAAGAAAGAGUUGUGAGAAAAA